GGAUCAUUGCUGGACACGCCUCUCGGCGUACCCAGAUACCCUUUGUGAACUUGAACAAAUCGUUGCCUCGGCGCCGAGCCGGGGGGGCCUCUGCGCCCCUCCCCCGGGGGCCCCUUCACGGGGGACCCAGGGAGCCAGCCCGCCGGUGGCCUUCUAAACUCUUGUUUUUAUAGUGCUACCUCUGAGUAUAAGCUUCUAAAUGAAUCAAAACUUUCAACAACGGAUCUCUUGGUUCUGGCAUCGAUGAAGAACGCAGCGAAAUGCGAUAAGUAAUGUGAAUUGCAGAAUUCAGUGAAUCAUCGAAUCUUUGAACGCACAUUGCGCCCGGUGGUAUUCCACCGGGCAUGCCUGUUCGAGCGUCAUUUCAACCCUCAAGCCUUGCUUGGUGUUGGGGCGCUGCCUCCCCCGCGGAGGCAGGCCCCCAAAUUCAAUGGCGAGCUCGCCAGGACUCCGAGCGCAGUAGUUUAACCACCUCGCUUAGGACGGACUGGCGGUUGCCCUGCCGUAAAACCCCCAUAUUUUACCAAAGGUUGACCUCGGAUCAGGUAGGAAUACCCGCUGAACUUAAGCAUAUCAAUAAGCGGAGGAAAAGAAACCAACAGGGAUUGCCCUAGUAACGGCGAGUGAAGCGGCAACAGCUCAAAUUUGAAAUCUGGCCUUCGGGUCCGAGUUGUAAUUUGCAGAGGAUGCUUUUGGCGCGGUGCCUUCCGAGUUCCCUGGAACGGGACGCCACAGAGGGUGAGAGCCCCGUAUGGUUGGACACCAAGCCUGUGUAAAGCUCCUUCAACGAGUCGAGUAGUUUGGGAAUGCUGCUCUAAAUGGGAGGUAAAUCUCUUCUAAAGCUAAAUACCGGCCAGAGACCGAUAGCGCACAAGUAGAGUGAUCGAAAGAUGAAAAGCACCUUGAAAAGGGGGUUAAACAGUACGUGAAAUUGUUGAAAGGGAAGCGCUUGUGACCAGACUUGCGCCGGGCGGCUCAUCCGGGGUUCUCCUCGGUGCACUCCGCCCGGCUCAGGCCAGCAUCGGUUCCAGUGGGGGGAUAAGACCGGCAGGAACGUAGCAGUCUCCGGGCUGUGUUAUAGCCUGUCGGACGAUACCCUCGCGGGGACCGAGGACCGCGCUC
rnacentral:rRNA from 1 species